rnacentral:rRNA from 1 species
UACGUAGGGUGCAAGCGUUAUUCGGAAUUACUGGGCGUAAAGCGUGCGCAGGCGGUUGUGCAAGUCAGAUGUGAAAUCCCCGGGCUUAACCUGGGAAUGGCAUUUGUGACUGCACGGCUAGAGUGUGUCAGAGGGGGGUAGAAUUCCACGUGUAGCAGUGAAAUGCGUAGAUAUGUGGAGGAAUACCGAUGGCGAAGGCAGCCCCCUGGGAUAACACUGACGCUCAUGCACGAAAGCGUGGGGAGCAAACAGG